rnacentral:lncRNA from 1 species
AAAUUAAGUAAGUGUGGAGGAGAUGAAGAGACUAAUCCUAUGUACAAAAUUAAAACUUAAGAGUUGAAAAGAUCUGACCAAUGGGUAGCAAUCCAAUAGACAAGAAUGUCUUAUAGAAAACCCAAAUUCCCUUGGAUAUUAGAAUCAAGCCACAAACAAUGCAUACAAUAUUAUCUUAAAGAGAAAGGCAUCAAAUAAAGAUAGCCCUAUCCAAU